rnacentral:rRNA from 1 species
UUAACACAUGCAAGUCGAACGGUGAAGCCCAGCUUGCUGGGUGGAUCAGUGGCGAACGGGUGAGUAACACGUGAGCAACCUGCCCCUGACUCUGGGAUAAGCGCUGGAAACGGCGUCUAAUACUGGAUACGAGUAGCGACCGCAUGGUCAGUUACUGGAAAGAUUUAUUGGUUGGGGAUGGGCUCGCGGCCUAUCAGCUUGUUGGUGAGGUAAUGGCUCACCAAGGCGUCGACGGGUAGCCGGCCUGAGAGGGUGACCGGCCACACUGGGACUGAGACACGGCCCAGACUCCUACGGGAGGCAGCAGUGGGGAAUAUUGCACAAUGGGCGCAAGCCUGAUGCAGCAACGCCGCGUGAGGGAUGACGGCCUUCGGGUUGUAAACCUCUUUUAGCAGGGAAGAAGCGAAAGUGACGGUACCUGCAGAAAAAGCACCGGCUAACUACGUGCCAGCAGCCGCGGUAAUACGUAGGGUGCAAGCGUUAUCCGGAAUUAUUGGGCGUAAAGAGCUCGUAGGCGGUUUGUCGCGUCUGCUGUGAAAUCCGGAGGCUCAACCUCCGGCCUGCAGUGGGUACGGGCAGACUAGAGUGCGGUAGGGGAGAUUGGAAUUCCUGGUGUAGCGGUGGAAUGCGCAGAUAUCAGGAGGAACACCGAUGGCGAAGGCAGAUCUCUGGGCCGUUACUGACGCUGAGGAGCGAAAGGGUGGGGAGCAAACAGGCUUAGAUACCCUGGUAGUCCACCCCGUAAACGUUGGGAACUAGUUG